UGGGGAAUAUUGGACAAUGGGCGAAAGCCUGAUCCAGCCAUGCCGCGUGUGUGAAGAAGGUCUUCGGAUUGUAAAGCACUUUAAGUUGGGAGGAAGGGCAUUAACCUAAUACGUUAGUGUUUUGACGUUACCGAAAGAAUAAGCACCGGCUAACUCUGUGCCAGCAGCCGCGGUAAUACAGAGGGAGCACGCGUUAAUCGGAAUUACUGGGCGUAAAGCGCGCGUAGGUGGUUUGUUAAGUUGGAUGUGAAAUCCCCGGGCUCAACCUGGGAACUGCAUUCAAAACUGACUGACUAGAGUAUGGUAGAGGGUGGUGGAAUUUCCUGUGUAGCGGUGAAAUGCGUAGAUAUAGGAAGGAACACCAGUGGCGAAGGCGACCACCUGGACUAAUACUGACACUGAGGUGCGAAAGCGUGGGGAGCAAACA
rnacentral:rRNA from 1 species